UACAGAGGUCUCAAGCGUUGUUCGGAUUCAUUGGGCGUAAAGGGUGCGUAGGUGGCGGGGUUAGUCAGGUGUGAAAUCUCGGAGCUCAACUCCGAAACUGCACUUGAUACUGCCUUGCUAGAGUACUGGAGAGGAGAUUGGAAUUUACGGUGUAGCAGUGAAAUGCGUAGAUAUCGUAAAGAAGACCAGUGGCGAAGGCGAAUCUCUGGACAGUUACUGACACUGAGGCACGAAGGCCAGGGGAGCAAACGGG
rnacentral:rRNA from 1 species